UGAGUUUGAUCCUGGCUCAGGAUGAACGCUAGCGGCAGGCCUAAUACAUGCAAGUCGAACGGUAAGUUGAGUAGCAAUACUUGACCUAGAGUGACGUAAGGGUGCGUAACACGUAUGCAAUCUGCCCAUAACUGGAGGAUAGCUCCCCGAAAGGGGAAUUAACACUCCGUAAUAUAAUCGGAAGGCAUCUUUUGAUUAUUAAAACUCCGGUGGUUAUGGAUGAGCAUGCGUCUGAUUAGCUAGUUGGUAGUGUAAAGGACUACCAAGGCGAUGAUCAGUAGGGGAACUGAGAGGUUGAUCCCCCACACUGGCACUGAGAUACGGGCCAGACUCCUACGGGAGGCAGCAGUAGGGAAUAUUGGACAAUGGGUGCAAGCCUGAUCCAGCCAUGCCGCGUGCAGGAAGAAGGCCUUCUGGGUUGUAAACUGCUUUUGCCAGGGGAUAAAAAGCCCAUGCGUGGGAAAUUGAAGGUACCUGGUGAAUAAGCCACGGCUAACUACGUGCCAGCAGCCGCGGUAAUACGUAGGUGGCAAGCGUUGUCCGGAUUUAUUGGGUUUAAAGGGUGCGUAGGCGGCCUUGUAAGUCAGUGCUGAAAUAUCCCGGCUUAACCGGGAGGGUGGCAUUGAUACUGCAGGGCUUGAGUAAAGUUGAGGUUGGCGGAAUUGACGGUGUAGCGGUGAAAUGCUUAGAUAUCGUCAAGAACACCUAUUGCGUAGGCAGCUAACUAAGCUUUAACUGACGCUGAGGCACGAAAGUGUGGGGAUCAAACAGGAUUAGAUACCCUGGUAGUCCACACUGUA
rnacentral:rRNA from 1 species